rnacentral:rRNA from 1 species
AGAGUUUGAUCCUGGCUCAGGAUGAACGCUGGCGGCGUGCCUAAUACAUGCAAGUCGAACGGAGAAUGUAGCAAUAUGUUCUUAGUGGCGAACGGGUGAGUAACGCGUUGGUGACCUGCCCCGAAGAGAGGGAUAACAGUUCGAAAGGACUGCUAAUACCCCAUGUGGUUAUUGGGAUUAGAUGCCCGAUAACUAAACGGAGAAAUUCGCUUCGGGAGGGACCUGCGUCCCAUCAGCUAGUUGGUGAGGUAACGGCUCACCAAGGCUAUGACGGGUAGGGGACCUGAGAGGGUGGCCCCCCACAUUGGCACUGAAAUACGGGCCAAACACCUACGGGUGGCAGCAGUAGGGAAUAUUGGUUAACCUGCGAAAGCGGGAACCAGCAACGCCGCGUGCGCGAUGAAGGCCUUCGGGUUGUAAAGCGCUUUUUGGAGGGAUGAGGAAGGACAGUACCUCCAGAAUAAGCCUCGGCUAACUACGUGCCAGCAGCCGCGGUAAAACGUAGGAGGCAAGCGUUAUUCGGAUUUACUGGGCGUAAAGCGUGUGCAGGCGGUUCAGAAAGUUGGAUGUGAAAGCUCCUGGCUUAACUAGGAGAGGUCGUUCAAUACUUCUGGACUAGAGGAUGAGAGAGGGAGGUGGAAUUCCUGGUGUAGCGGUGAAAUGCGUAGAGAUCAGGAAGAACACCGGUGGCGAAGGCGCUCUGCUAGGCCGCAACUGACACUGAGGGACGAAAGCUAGGGGAGCGAAUGGGAUUAGAUACCCCAGUAGUCCUAGCUGUAAACGAUGGAUACUAGGCGUGG